UACGGAGGGUGCAAGCGUUAUCCGGAUUUACUGGGUUUAAAGGGUGUGUGGGCGGGCUUUUAAGUCAGUGGUGAAAUCUCCGGGCUCAACCUGGAAACUGCCAUUGAUACUAUUAGUCUUGAAUUUUGUUGAGGUAGGCGGAAUAAGUCAUGUAGCGGUGAAAUGCAUAGAUAUGACCUAGAACACCAAUUGCGAAGGCAGCUUGCUAAACAAAUAUUGACGCUGAGGCACGAAAGCGUGGGGAUCAAACAGG
rnacentral:rRNA from 1 species